rnacentral:rRNA from 1 species
GACGAACGCUGGCGGCGUGCUUAACACAUGCAAGUCGAACGGAAAGGCCCUGCUUUCGUGGGGCGCUAGUGUGGCGAACGGGUGUGUCACAUGUGUGUACUCUGCUCUUGACUUUGGGAAAACUUCAGGAAUCUGUGGCUUAUACCGGAUAGGCGCUCUUGAUGCAUGGUGGUGGUUGGAAUGUUUCGGCGGUUGGGGAUGGACUCGCGGCUUGUUAGUUUGUUGGUGGGGUAGGGGCUUACCAAGGGGUUGAUGGGUGGCCGGCCGGGGUGGGUGACCGGCAACAUUGGGACGGAGAUACGGCCAGGACUCCUACGGGGGGCAGCGGGGGGGAAUAUGGAACAAGGGGCGAAGGCCGAAGGAAGCAACGCCGCGGGCGGGAGAACGGCCUUCGGUUGUUAACCCGCUUUCGCCUGGAACGAAGCGUUUGUGACGGUAAUGAGUAAAGAAGCACCGGCUAACUACGUG